UGAUGGGCACAUUGGUUAAGGGAUGGGAGAUGCAUGGAGAGGAGGAGGAGAGAAGGCAGCCCAUCGGGAGCACGGGAGGUCUCCUGCCUCCCAAAGCAACAAUUCCCAUGUGCCAAGUGGAUGGCCCAGCUCCCAACAUUUCAUUGUGAUGGCCAGCCUUGGUCAGCACUUGGUUACCAUGAGGAGGGGAACCACAGGACUGUCCUGCAAAUUGUCACACUUGAGAACGAAUUCCAUCAUGAGAUGGCAACAGGACCAGGAGAAGGGCUAGCACCUUGUCAUGCUGCUGCUCCUGGUGGGCUACCAGCUGUCAGCCUGGCAGCCCGCAGGUGAUGGUGAUGGACAGGGGGCUGUAAUCAAUAGAGCCUCCACAGAUUGACAUCGGCACGCCACUCACCUACGGGAAAUCCUGCCAGGAAAAGCCUCCCCGUGUUCCCGCUGCGUGCAGGCACUCAGUGCCAUGUCCCUUACGCGGGUGUCACAUCCACGCAGCUGUGAGGCCAAGCUGCGGCUCCUUCCCCUCUGCACCCGCUCACAACGAAGUUUGAGUCAGGAUA